rnacentral:rRNA from 1 species
GCAGGGAAACAGAUGGACCCACGAAGUCCUGUUGGUAGUGAAAUUCAAUUUGACUACUGUGUUGUUGGUCGUUAGUUGUUCGCUUGUCGAAUGAUUAUGAUCAUCAUUGCAUUUUAGUCAAUGCACUUUUCACUACCACGUUGGAGCUCUGACUCUUAACACACAACUUGAUUGUUUAGUGCAACUUUUUUUAGUGGUUAAGUCUCUUUAUUGAGUCUUAUUCACUUUGAAAGGAGUCAAAUCGAGUUACGGUUAAGAGGUGAAUUACUUACUAUUGUAAGUCUAUUCAGAUCGUCUGAUCUUGGUGAUGGUGUAGAGUAGGUCUCUUAAGUGACUUUCGGCUCUUGUAGUUGAAACCAUUUUUGAAUGCUUGCUCAUAUACAUUGUCAUCUUGUCAAACGAUGAUCCAGAGUAAGUAGGUCGGUCAUCCAUCUGACCC